CCUACCUAUAGACCAACCUUGAGAAACCAAGAUUUCCCUCCCUCCGGUCGUCGGAACAGGGGAGGGGAGAGGAAACCACGGUAUCGCCGGCAGCAGACAGGGGACUUUGAUCGUCUAGGGCAGCACAUGUGACAUGCGAAUAGGGGAGCUCGGUUUCAUGACUUCUGGUAUGUUAGGGAAACGCCUUCUACACUGCACAAGAAGUCAAAGCACUCUGCAAAAACAAAACAAAAAAACAUUUUUUACUUCCAGAAACCAAGAAGACUUGUAAGUUGUAAUUAAAGAGCUUGCGGCACAGAGGGGAAGAGAACACCCUAAAACCAGCCUCUUCUCCGGACAUCCUCUCAGCUCAGACUACUACAAAACCUUGGUUCUUGGAGUCCUUGUAAGCUGAGCCCUCCCAUAAGAAAAUUGACAGGUUGGUGCCUGCCCCAAGCUAGGGUUCUCUUAUGGGUCAGCCCACCUUUGUUUUGACAUGUGCAAUGGCCUUGCCCAUGUCCUCAUCCCAAAUGUCCACAAAAAAAAA
rnacentral:lncRNA from 1 species